UAUUAAAAAUUUCAUCCACUUGUAUUGUUAAAAACUAGUGUGAUUGAUGGAAUAAUUAGACAUUGACAUGUGGCAUGUCGUGUGUACCUCAUGCUGAUAUAUAGGGAUCAAUUUUAACCGUAGAAAUAGAUAAAAAUUUUAACA
rfam:Gossypium hirsutum cultivar TM-1 chromosome 5, whole genome shotgun sequence